rnacentral:rRNA from 1 species
GACGAACGCUGGCGGCGUGCUUAACACAUGCAAGUCGAACGAACAGGCCCUGCUGUUGUGGCUUGCUCGAUUGGCGAACGCGUGAGUAACACGUGAGUAUCCUGCCCUUAACUUUGGGAUAACUUCAGGAAACAGGGGCGAAUACCGCAUAUGAACUCCUGAUCCAUGUGGGUCAUUGGAAAAUUUCGGCGGUUGGGGAUGGACUCGCGGCUUAUCAGCUUCUUGGGUGGGUAGUGGCUUCCCACGGCUUUCACGGGUAGCCGUCCUGUGAGGGUGGACGGCGACAGGGGGCCUGAGAUAGGGCCCAGACGCCUACGGGCCGCAGUGGUGGGGAGUCUUGCACAACGGGGGGAAGCGUGAUGAAGCAACGCCGCGUGCGUGAUGACCGCCUUUGGGUUGUAAACCGCUUUCGCCUGUGCCGAAGCGUGCGUGACGGUAACGGGUAAAGAAGCACCGGCUAGCUACGUG